GUCAGUAUGGCCGAGCGGUCAAAGGCGCCAGACUCAAGAUAUACUGUGUCAUCUGGUUCGGGAAACCGAUCGUUGGUUCAAAUCCCACUGCUGACA
rnacentral:tRNA from 1 species